UACGUAGGGUGCAAGCGUUAAUCGGAAUUACUGGGCGUAAAGCGUGCGCAGGCGGUUUGGUAAGACAGAUGUGAAAUCCCCGGGCUUAACCUGGGAAUUGCAUUUGUGACUGCCCGGCUAGAGUGUGUCAGAGGGGGGGUAGAAUUCCACGUGUAGCAGUGAAAUGCGUAGAGAUGUGGAGGAAUACCGAUGGCGAAGGCAGCCCCCUGGGAUAACACUGACGCUCAUGCACGAAAGCGUGGGGGAGCAAACAGG
rnacentral:rRNA from 1 species